UUUUUUUUUCUUUUUUUUUUUUGCGGGUGAGCGCCUACGGCGGUUAGCUGUUGCUGCCAUGCGGCCGGCAAUGUCGUCGGGUUUGACCGGUGAAGUGGCCUCUGCGCCGGUCGCGCUGGGCUGAGCGGUAGGGUUUGAGAGCGAGACGGUGGCGUUCGAGGAAACAGGGCAGGCAUGUGAGCCACGUCGGUGUCGGCGAACCGGCGUCGCCCUGCCCUGCCGGCGAGGUCUUGACUAUUGACUGACGGCUUCCCGUGCGUGGGACGUGCUCGGCACGGCCAUUGACUUCGGGGCACAGGCAGCUACGAGAGCCUACCGUUCAGUUGGUCUAUGUGGCUGCUAUAUUUCAUCCUAUGUUUUCUUCUUUCUUUCUUUCUUUCUUUCUUUUAGAGCAAAGACCUUUUUAAUUUAACCCAUUUUUCUAGAACAUCAGUCCUACCAAGCAAAAAAAAAGUAAGUUGUAAAAAGAAAAGGAGUCGUUGAAGGGAAAAGCAAACUGGUUUUUUAUGGGGGAGACGAACGCAAAAAUUGGCAGCGUGACAACUCCAUGUCGCCGUCUGGCACGGCCCAAGCUGGGUGGACGGAGCGGCCCAGUAAUGACAACAUUUGAUUUGCCGUCGCUUGCGGCAGACCCAGCCCAUCGUUAUGUAGCAACGCAAAGAAAAUUCUGCAUGAAAUAGAACCAGCAAAGCACGCCCAUAAAGCUGAACAUCAAAACAUAAGGAACACCAACAGAGUACAGACAGACGCUAUGGUUCGACCAAAUCUACAUCCAUCAGGUAACUGAAAUGUACUACCCCCCACAAUCGCACCAAGCCACCCGAUGCGGCCAUUAUUCGUUUAUUCUGCUUCAGGAAAUGUCCCCAAAAUUGAAACUGCACACUGUCGAUUCAAUUGCGCAACAGCACAGGACCACCAGCCUAGAAACGGUGCCCAGCGAAGCUCAU
rnacentral:lncRNA from 1 species